AGGAAUCGUGGAUGCUCGGAACGUCGUUGUUCGUUGGCUCGUGAUAUGAAAGGCACGGUGUUGGCGGAUUAAUGCUGAUCACUACGCCAUCGGACGCGUGUCGCAGACAUGCCAGGAGCUCUAAAACGCCGACGCAGCCGACCAGCACCGAUAACAAUAAGCCCAUCUUCGAUUGAGAAAGUUCUAAACCUCAUGCUUCGCUCACCCACGCAUUACAUUCCCAUAUGAUGGCAACGAAGCGAGGGGCGACGACGACGUGAUUAUGCGUAUGCACUUGGCCAGACAAACACGCGUACACAACGUAUCGCGUGUCUACGCGCUGGAUACAAGCAUACGAUUGAGUACAUGAUGCGAUACAGUGAAAAUGUGCACUUUGUAUCGAAGCAAGUAACGGCGAAAAAUAAUCGUGUGAUCGGUGAGGUCAACGUAUUCUCGUCGUUUGACAAUGUAUAUCAUCCCUUAUAAGGAGUAUCUAUGGACCUAUUUGAAGCAACAUGGAACUACUGCCGUUAUCUUUAAAACCGCGUCCAGUGUCUAUUCAUAUUCUUCGGAAAUUGCUCGA